rnacentral:rRNA from 1 species
AUUGAACGCUGGCGGCAUGCCUUACACAUGCAAGUCGAACGGUAACGGGUCCUUCGGGAUGCCGACGAGUGGCGAACGGGUGAGUAAUAUAUCGGAACGUGCCCAGUAGUGGGGGAUAACUGCUCGAAAGAGCAGCUAAUACCGCAUACGACCUGAGGGUGAAAGGGGGGGAUCGGAAGACCUCUCGCUAUUGGAGCGGCCGAUACCAGAUUAGCGAGGUGGUGGGGUAAAGGCCCACUAAGGCAACGAUCUGUAGUUGGUCUGAGAGGACGACCAGCCACACUGGGACUGAGACACGGCCCAGACUCCAACGGGAGGCAGCAGUGGGGAAUUUUGGACAAUGGGCGCAAGCCUGAUCCAGCAAUGCCGCGUGCAGGAAGAAGGCCUUCGGGUUGUAAACUGCUUUUGUCAGGGAAGAAAUCUUCUGGGCUAAUACCCCGGGAGGAUGACGGUACCUGAAGAAUAAGCACCGGCUAACUACGUGCCAACAGCAGCCGCGG